rnacentral:rRNA from 1 species
AGAACGAACGCUGGCGGCAUGCCUAACACAUGCAAGUCGAACGCUCUUGGGGCUUCGGUCUCAGGGGAGUGGCGCACGGGUGAGUAGCGCGUGGGAACCUGCCCUGUUGUGGGGGAUAACCGAGGGAAACUUCGGCUAAUACCGCAUAAGCCGGUUGUCUUGAAGGAGAUGGCCGGGAAAGAUUUAUCGCGACAGGAGGGGCCCGCGUCGGAUUAGCUAGUUGGUGGGGUAACGGCCCACCAAGGCGGUGAUCCGUAGCUGGUCUGAGAGGAUGAUCAGCCACACUGGGACUGAGACACGGCCCAGACUCCUACGGAGGCAGCAGUGGGGAAUAUUGGACAAUGGGCGAAAGCCUGAUCCAGCAAUGCCGCGUGGGUGAAGAAGGUCUUCGGAUUGUAAAGCCCUUUCGACGGGGACGAUGAUGACGGUACCCGUAGAAGAAGCCCCGGCUAACUUCGUGCCAGCAGCCGC